rnacentral:rRNA from 1 species
GAUGAACGCUGGCGGCGUGCCUAAUACAUGCAAGUCGAGCGAACAGACGAGGAGCUUGCUCCUCUGACGUUAGCGGCGGACGGGUGAGUAACACGUGGAUAACCUACCUAUAAGACUGGGAUAACUUCGGGAAACCGGAGCUAAUACCGGAUAACAUGUUGAACCGCAUGGUUCAACAGUGAAAGACGGUCUUGUUGUCACUUAUAGAUGGAUCCGCGCCGCAUUAGCUAGUUGGUAAGGUAACGGCUUACCAAGGCAACGAUGCGUAGCCGACCUAAGAGGGUGAUCGGCCACACUGGAACUGAGACACGGUCCAGACUCCUACGGGAGGCAGCAGUAGGGAAUCUUCCGCAAUGGGCGAAAGCCUGACGGAGCAACGCCGCGUGAGUGAAGAAGGUCUUCGGAUCGUAAAACUCUGUUAUUAGGGAAGAACAAAUGUGUAAGUAACUAUGCACGUCUUGACGUUACCUAAUCAGAAAGCCACGGCUAACUACGUGCCAGCCGCCGCCGUAA